UACGGUCACAUAAUGUUGAAACACCGGUUGCUGUAGAAUCACCGAAGUUAAGCAACGACGAGCCUGGUCAGUACCUAGAUGGGUGACCGCUUGGGAAUUUCAGGUGCUGUAA